rnacentral:rRNA from 1 species
GGAGGGCAAGUCUGGUGCCAGCAGCCGCGGUAAUUCCAGCUCCAAUAGCGUAUAUUAAAGUUGUUGUGGUUAAAAAGCUCGUAGUUGAACCUUGGGCCUGGCUGGCCGGUCCGCCUCACCGCGUGUACUGGUCCGGCCGGGCCUUUCCCUCUGUGGAACCCCAUGCCCUUCACUGGGUGUGGCGGGGAAACAGGACUUUUACUUUGAAAAAAUUAGAGUGCUCCAGGCAGGCCUAUGCUCGAAUACAUUAGCAUGGAAUAAUAGAAUAGGACGUGUGGUUCUAUUUUGUUGGUUUCUAGGACCGCCGUAAUGAUUAAUAGGGACAGUCGGGGGCAUCAGUAUUCAAUUGUCAGAGGUGAAAUUCUUGGAUUUAUUGAAGACUAACUACUGCGAAAGCAUUUGCCAAGGAUGUUUUCAUUAAUCAGGAACGAAAGUUAGGGGAUCGAAGACGAUCAGAUACCGUCGUAGUCUUAACCAUAAACUAUGCCGACUAGGGAUCGGACGAUGUUAUUUUUUGACUCGUUUGGCACCUUACGGGAAAC